rnacentral:tRNA from 1 species
CGGGAAGUGGCGCAGCUUGGUAGCGCACCUGCUUUGGGAGCAGGGGGUCGCAGGUUCAAAUCCUGCCACCCCGACAA